rnacentral:rRNA from 1 species
GGGCUGAGACCCGGCCCCAGAUUCCUACGGGAGGCAGCAGUAGGGAAUCUUCCACAAUGGACGCAAGUCUGAUGGAGCAACGCCGCGUGAAUGAAGAAGGGUUUCGGCUCGUAAAGCUCUGUUGUUAAAGAAGAACGUGGGUGAGAGUAACUGUUCACCCAGUGACGGUAUUUAACCAGAAAGCCACGGCUAACUACGUGCCAGCAGCCGCGGUAAUACGUAGGUGGCAAGCGUUAUCCGGAUUUAUUGGGCGUAAAGCGAGCGCAGGCGGUCUUUUAAGUCUAAUGUGAAAGCCUUCGGCUCAACCGAAGAAGUGCAUUGGAAACUGGGAGACUUGAGUGCAGAAGAGGACAGUGGAACUCCAUGUGUAGCGGUGAAAUGCGUAGAUAUAUGGAAGAACACCAGUGGCGAAGGCGGCUGUCUGGUCUGUAACUGACGCUGAGGCUCGAAAGCAUGGGUAGCGAACAGGAUUAGAUACCCUGGUAGUCCAUGCCGUAAACGAUGAUUACUAAGUGUUGGAGGGUUUCCGCCCUUCAGUGCUGCAGCUAACGCAUUAAGUAAUCCGCCUGGGGAGUACGACCGCAAGGUUGAAACUCAAAAGAAUUGACGGGGGCCCGCACAAGCGGUGGAGCAUGUGGUUUAAUUCGAAGCUACGCGAAGAACCUUACCAGGUCUUGACAUCUUCUGCCAACCUAAGAGAUUAGGCGUUCCCUUCGGGGACAGAAUGACAGGUGGUGCAUGGUUGUCGUCAGCUCGUGUCGUGAGAUGUUGGGUUAAGUCCCGCAACGAGCGCAACCCUUAUUACUAGUUGCCAGCAUUCAGUUGGGCACUCUAGUGAGACUGCCGGUGACAAACCGGAGGAAGGUGGGGACGACGUCAAAUCAUCAUGCCCCUUAUGACCUGGGCUACACACGUGCUACAAUGGAUGGUACAACGAGUUGCGAAACCGCGAGGUUUAGCUAAUCUCUUAAAACCAUUCUCAGUUCGGACUGUAGGCUGCAACUCGCCUACACGAAGUCGGAAUCGCUAGUAAUCGCGGAUCAGCAUGCCGCGGUGAAUACGUUCCCGGGCCUUGUACACACCGCCCGUCACACCAUGAGAGUUUGUAACACCCAAAGCCGGUGGGGUAACCUUUUAGGAGCUAGCCGUCUAAG